UACAGAGACUGCAAGCGUUAUUCGGAUUCACUGGGCGUAAAGGGUGCGCAGGCGGCCAAGUGUGUGAGGCGUGAAAGCCCGGGGCUUAACCCCGGAAUUGCACCUCAAACUACAUGGCUAGAGCAUUGGAGAGGGUAGCAGAAUUGAUGGUGUAGCAGUGAAAUGCGUAGAUAUCAUGAGGAAUACCAGAGGCGAAGGCGGCUACCUGGACAAUUGCUGACGCUCAGGCACGAAAGCGUGGGGAGCAAAAGGG
rnacentral:rRNA from 1 species